rnacentral:rRNA from 1 species
UUCCGGUUGAUCCCGCCGGACCCCACUGCUAUCGAGAUGGGACUAAGGUAUGCUAGUCGAACGACCAGAACUAUGUCUGGAAGUGGCACACUGCUCAGUAACACGUAGCUAACCUACCCUUAGGACGUGGAUACCCCCGAGAAAUUGGGGUUAAUCCGCGAUAGGUGUAAUGUCCUGGAAUGGUAUUACGCCUAAAGGUGUAUCAUACAUGUUUGAUAUACGCCUAAGGAUGGGGCUGCGGCCGAUCAGGCUGUUGGUGAGGUAAUGGCUCACCAAACCUUUGACCGGUACGGGCCAUGAGAGUGGUAGCCCGGAGAUGGACACUGAGACAAGGGUCCAGGCCCUAAGGGGCGCAGCAACCACGAAACCUCCACAAUGCACUCACGUGCGAUGGGGCUAUCUCGAGUGCCACCUGAUGAAGGUGGCUUUUCCUAGGUCUUCAAAGCCUUGGGAAUAAGAGGGGGGCAAGACUGGUGUCAGCCGCCGCGGUAACACCAGCCCCUCGAGUGGUGGGGAUGAUUAUUUGGCCUAAAGCGUCCGUAGCCGGCCGAGCAAGUCUUCCGUUAAAUCCAGCGUCUCAAGCGUUGGACUGCGGGAGAUACUACACGGCUAGAGAGUGGGAGAGGUCAGCGGUAUUCUGGGGGUAGGGGCGAAAUCCUUUGAUCCCCGGAGGACCACCAGUGGCGAAGGCUGCUGACUAGAACACGUCUGACGGUCAGGGACGAAAGCUGGGGUAGCGAACCGGAUUAGAUACCCGGGUAGUCCCAGCCGUAAACGAUGCAUGCUAGGUGUUGGGUUGGCCACGAGCCACCCCAGU